rnacentral:rRNA from 1 species
UACAGAGGGGGCAAGCGUUAUUCGGAAUUAUUGGGCGUAAAGAGCUCGUAGGCGGUUUGUCGCGUCGAAUGUGAAAACCCGGGGCUCAACCCCGGGCCUGCAUUCGAUACGGGCAGACUAGAGUUCGGUAGGGGAGUCUGGAAUUCCUGGUGUAGCGGUGAAAUGCGUAGAUAUCUGGAGGAACACCGGUGGCGAAGGCGGCAUCCUGGACCAAUACUGACACUGAGGCGCGAAAGCUAGGGGAGCAAACAGG